AACGAACGCUGGCGGCAUGCCUAACACAUGCAAGUCGAACGAGACCUUCGGGUCUUGUGGCGCACGGGUGCGUAACGCGUGGGAACCUGCCCUUAGGUUCGGAAUAACUCCCCGAAAGGGGUGCUAAUACCGGAUAAUGUCUUCGGACCAAAGAUUUAUCGCCUUUGGAUGGGCCCGCGUUGGAUUAGCUGGUUGGUAGGGUAAAAGCCUACCAAGGCGAGGAUCCAUAGCUGGGCUGAGAGGAUGAUCAGCCACUCUGGGACUGAGACACGGCCCAGACUCCUACGGAAGGGAGCAGUGGGGAAUAUUGGACAAUGGGCGAAAGCCUGAUCCAGCAAUGCCGCGUGAGUGAUGAAGGCCUUAGGGUUGUAAAGCUCUUUUACCCGGGAUGAUAAUGACAGUACCGGGAGAAUAAGCUCCGGCUAACUCCGUG
rnacentral:rRNA from 1 species